rnacentral:misc_RNA from 1 species
GAUGAAGAACGUAGUGAAAUGCGAUAAGUAAUGCGAAUUGCAGAAUCCGUGAGUCAUCGAAUCUUUGAACGCACAUUGCGCCCCUUGGUUAUUCCGAAGGGCAUGCCUGUUCGAGCGUCAUUAUCACCCCUCAAGCCCUGGCUUGGUGUUGGACUUUAGUUAUAGCUUUGCCUAUCAACUGGUCUCAAAGAUAGUGACGGCGCCCCAGAGGGAACCGGGUACGAGGAGCUUUUUACUAAGCAUGUAUCUGGGACGACUCUGGGCGACGGUCUUGUUAUACUUUUUACCUAAGUGUUGACCUCGGAUCAGGUAGGAAUACCCGCUGAACUUAAGCAUAUCAAUAAGCGGAGGA